GUCGGGGGAGACAUCACGUGUGGGUUCUGGUCCUCCUCAGAGGGUGCCAACAAGAUAAACAGGAUGUACUACCAAGAGAUAUUUGCAAAAGGAAAAGCAAUUCUUUAUUGCAUGGACAGACAUGGUACAAAUGAGCUUCUUACACGAUACAGCUGCUUCCUUCACCUCCCUGCUCUAAAGGAAGCAGGAAGAGCCGGAGAGGGGAGGGAGGAAGAGUGGGAGAAGGAGGGACCCUCCUGAGCCUGAGCGGGACACCCUCCGAGGGCGGGGACUGCAGCUUGCUCUCCCGCCCCUCUGGCCAGCUGUCGGCUCAGCCUCAGGAGGGUGGGGUGGUGAGGGACGUCUCUCCUGCCCUGGGUAUUUAGACUUCUCUCUUGCGGGAAGAAACCACCUUUCCGUCCACUGACUCCUCAAUGUUGAUGCGGACUUUGCCGCCGCUGCCGCCUCCCAGGGAGGCUGUAGAGAGAAGGAGCAAGCUUUAGAGUGGGGGACCCUCCCCAUCCACCCUCCCUCCCAGGGAGGCCAGGACCUUGGGGAAGGGAACCAGCAUGAGCCCAACCACUGCCAUUUACAGAAGAAACACAGGCCCAGAGAGGUGAUGCGACCUGCCCAGGGUAACAGCCAAAGACAAGAGUGCAGGGUGCAGAGCGCCUUCCUUCUUGCUCAGUUCUCUUCUCACUGUACCACACUGCCAUUCUCCUAAGAUGACUCUCCAUCCUGACAACACCGACCGCUCCCAUCUUCCUCCCUCUGCACCCUGCCCAUACCUGGCAUCCUGGCCCUCCAGCAGGCUGCGAUAGGUGGCGAUCUCCUGCUCCAGCCGCGUCUUGAUGUCCAGCAGCGUCUUGUACUCCUGGUUCUGAGCUUCCAUCUCACAGCGGAGCUCGCUCAGCUGGGUCUCCAGGCUGCUGAUGAGCCCCUGGAUCUGCUGCAGCUGUGUGGCGUAGCGGCACUCAACCUCUGCCACCUCCCAUGUGGACAGCUCGUGGUCACUGCACACUUGGACACAGCCAUGAAUCUACAGAACAUUCCAGCCAGUAAGAACCUGGAGGGCAGCUGAGGAAGGCAUUUAACAGCUGAGAAAACUGGUCCAGGUGAGUGAAAGGAUGAAUGAGUGUGUGGUAGAGCCCAUGACAAGUUCCAGGUAUCCUAAGUUUCAGUAGUGAUUUGGCACCAAAGACAUGCUCAGACUUUGGCGAAGCAGGAGGUCCCCACACUCCGGGCUCCUGAGGCCACACUCACCAUUCUUGCAAA
rnacentral:lncRNA from 1 species